rnacentral:rRNA from 3 species
UACGUAGGGGGCAAGCGUUGUCCGGAUUUAUUGGGCGUAAAGAGCGUGUAGGCGGCCAGGUAGGUCGGUUGUGAAAACUAGAGGCUCAACCUCUAGACGUCGACCGAAACCAUCUGGCUAGAGUCCGGAAGAGGAGAGUGGAAUUCCUGGUGUAGCGGUGAAAUGCGCAGAUAUCAGGAAGAACACCCGUGGCGAAAGCGGCUCUCUGGGACGGUACUGACGCUGAGACGCGAAAGCGUGGGGAGCGAACAGG